rnacentral:rRNA from 1 species
UACGUAGGGGGCGAGCGUUGUCCGGAUUCAUUGGGCGUAAAGCGCGCGCAGCGGCGGCGUGAGCCCGGCGUGAAAGCCCCCGGCUCAACCGGGGGAGGCCGUCGGGGACCGCGCCGCUGGAGGCCGGCAGGGGCGAGCGGAAUUCCCGGUGUAGUGGUGGAAUGCGUAGAGAUCGGGAGGAACACCGGUGGCGAAGGCGGCUCGCUGGGCCGGUCCUGACGCUCAGGCGCGAAAGCGUGGGGAGCGAUCCGG